rnacentral:SRP_RNA from 1 species
UAUUGGUCUCCUCGCGACGACAGAUUGUGAACCCCGUCAGGCCCGGAAGGGAGCAGCGGUAACAGUCGAUGCGGGCGCGGGUCUCGGCUCUUAGGG